rnacentral:rRNA from 1 species
AACGAACGCUGGCGGCAUGCCUAACACAUGCAAGUCGAACGAGACCUUCGGGUCUAGUGGCGCACGGGUGCGUAACGCGUGGGAACCUGCCCUUAGGUUCGGAAUAACUCCCCGAAAGGGGUGCUAAUACCGGAUAAUGUCUUCGGACCAAAGAUUUAUCGCCUUUGGAUGGGCCCGCGUUGGAUUAGCUUGUUGGUAGGGUAAAAGCCUACCAAGGCGACGAUCCAUAGCUGGUCUGAGAGGAUGAUCAGCCACACUGGGACUGAGACACGGCCCAGACUCCUACGGGAGGCAGCAGUGGGGAAUAUUGGACCAUGGGCGAAGGCCUGAUCCAGCAAUGCCGCGUGAGUGAUGAAGGCCUUAGGGUUGUAAAGCUCUUUUACCCAGGAUGAUAAUGACAGUACCGGGAGAAUAAGCUCCGGCUAACUCCGUG